GGGGUGCCCGGCGGCCCCGCUUCUCUGGUGCUGCCGACCGCCCUGGGUGUGCCUUCGCCCCAGUGCCUGCUGGAAGCACCUCCUCUCCACCGCGUCCCUGGGCUUCCAUAAGUGACCUCAUGGGUUCCCAGCACCCGCCCGCCCGCAGUUACAGCUCCGUCGUCUUCAUCUCCGUUUCUUUCCCUCCCCGCCCCCACCCCAGUUGCUUCGAGGGCGGAUCGCGUCCUCGGUCCCGCCGCCCCCCCCACCCCCGUCCGCUCACAGAGGAGGGGCUCCUGCAGGUGCUGCGGGACCACAGCUCCCUCGAAGGUGCCUGGACUCCCGGGGCUCCGGGCGGCCCCCACCUCCAGACGGUGUUCCCGGGAGGCCAGAGGUGACCGACGGGGACCGCCUGCCACUUCCUCCUGCUUCACUAGAAGGACGGACAAUACUGACGGAAGCAGCAUCUCGGUCUGUUAUAAAACAGUUCUUUCCCCGCCCUGGGUGGGGAGCCUGUCGGCAGCACUCCGGAAGCAUCUGGCCAGUGGUGAGGGGGCUUUCCAGGAGCCCCUCUAGUGGGAGAUGGACCCCCACCCCACCCCCGGAGCCGUGGGACCCGGCUCACUGUGCCCGGGGUGGACGCUGGGUCGUGGCGGGAGCUUCAGGCCGCGGUGAGCCGCGGGGAAGCCAGCCACGCAGGGGGGCGCCGCUCUGUGGUCCAUCUGACGUUGGGCCCCCUCCAGCCCCACCCCCACCAGGCCCCGGCCAAGGGACGGGUUUCAGACACGGCGCACAGAUGCGUUUUCCGCAUUAACUCAGUAUCAAGUUCCCCACGGAACAGGCCGUUCCAGUGCUUUAGAGGAACCGCGGUGAGUCCCACGCGGGGUCAGCCCGCCUGCGUCCCAGCCCCAUCGCCUGUCGUGGAAACGGAGACCUGCAGGGCCCCUGCGGCCGGCUGAGGGUCUUGCCUGUGGGUGGGGGCCGGGGGGCUGGGCUCUGGCCCACCUGGGCCUCUGUCACAGGUCAGGGGUUUUCAGUCGGCGGUUGUAUCGGUGACACGGAGACAGCAGAGACGCGUGUGAAUUGUUCACAAGCCCGUCCCACGGGAGGGUGGCACGGUCACUGUGCAGGUGGGUGAGGAGGGCCGCCGUCUGCCCCCUGCCCAGCCCCAGAGCCCCGCCGCGGGGUGAGCAGGCAGCUCCCAGCCGGCGGCCCCCCUGUCCUGGAGGCGGGCCCCACCAGGCCCUCAGACGGCGGCAGGGGCCCACGUGGCCAUCCUGGCCAGAAAGGGGCGGGCGGUCUCCUGACAGCUCGUCUCCGCAGGGUCCCCAGCCACCUGCGGUCCCGCGUCCCCGUCGCCCCCCGGCACUCAGUGUCGAGGGAUGGUCUCCCAUGCCGGGCCUGGCAUCCAGCCUGCAGCCUGCGGGCAGCCGGCCGAACCCUGAAACAGCAGGUGCGGGCCCCCGAGUGUACCCCAGGGGCGCACACCUCCAGCCACCCAGGCCCGCUGUGCCUCCCGGCCCACGCUCGGAGGGGCGACUGUCACCCUGAGCUGGGCGUGGACGGCUCCAGCCCCAGCAUCUCCGCCCGCCCUCACGGGCGCUGGCCAGGGACCAGGAGCCACGUGGGGCUCAGCCACACCUCCGCCCUCCGAAACCCGCCCCUCUGCUGGUGCUGACCAGCAGGGCUGGAAAGGGCUCAGGCAGAGCUGGUAACCCCGCUUUGUAACUUCUAGUCCAGACUGUCACUGACCUGGCCGCAGAGGAGAGCUGGGGGAAAUCCAGGCGCUCCUUUGCUCCGUGACCUGAUGGCGGGGCAGGGGGCGGCGGGGGGUCCGUCACCCAGUCUGCUGCUCAGCCCAAGACCAUGGUUCUGCUUUCUGUUCGCAAAUCUCGAUAGCUCUGUUUCUUCCAAAGUAGAUCAUGUCCCCGAGGGUCCAGGCCGGAUGGGGUCAGCUGGGGGCUGCAGCCAGGGCAGGUGGCCGGCCGUCUCUGCGCUGGUUGCCCCCCGGGGAGCUGGGGCGGCGGGGGUGGAGGCGUUUCUGCUGGCCUCAGUGCCCGGGGCGUGGGGGUCGGCCCACGGGCAGAGGCCCGGAUGAGUGGCUCGAAGCAGUGCCCGCAUUUCAUUUCUGCUGCUGCUGCUGCUGCGUCUAGUCUGUCUUGUGAACUCGCAACAAAAGAGGUGGAGUCCAGGGUGGCUGCACCACUCCUGCAGUCAGUGGCGAUCUGUUCCCAACUAGUCCCUUUAGACCAGUAAGAUAACUUCCACAGCAAACUCAACGACUUAAUUGGUAAACACAAAAAGCUGGCAUUAUUUUCCAGGAUUUCUAUGAGAAUUACCUGUAGAGUUAACAGAGUCUGUGGUCAAGGAAGUGUACAUCCACGUAGACACUUUUGAGAAUCGGUUCUUUCUUUGAUGGCACACCUCUGCGUUCAGUUCUCUUACCCAAAACAAAGACCAAAGAAGGCCAAUCUCUUGUGUGACUCUGUAUUUUUAAUCUGCCUGUUUUAAAAAAAUAAAACCUUGCGUCUGUACAGCCGCUCGCUGUGAGGACCCAUCUUGACAGUCCAAGUGAUUGUGACCAGUGACCACGUCCCGUGUUCUUCUGCUCUUCUGAGAAAAAAACACAAAAGGACCGUGUGAGUUAUUGCCCAGCAAUAAUCAUGUUGUUAACUGUGGGUCAACAACAUGUCUGACUUCCUGAUAGCAUUAUUAUGUUUGAUAUUUUUGUUUACUGUAUAUCUUGUGUGGUUUUAUUUGGUAUUUAUUUGUGUUUUGAGGUCUUGCAACGUUUUUGUGUUCCUGAUGCUAAUAACUGAAGUUUGUAAGAGUGUAGAAUGCCCAACUUUGAAAUGCUGAAACUGUCUCAUUAGAGGAAAAUAAACCUGAC
ensembl:lncRNA TRAF3 TNF receptor associated factor 3